AUAAAAAUCUGUGUCAUAGAAAAAAUAUGCAUUAAAAUGCUUUUGAAUUUGUAUGAGGACUUAAAUACAAUUAGGAUUAUUAACACAAGAAACAUUCUUGGACCGGUGCAAGAUGAACCAGAGCAAAAGCAUUUGCCAAUAAUGUUUUCAUUAAUCAAGAACGAAAGUCGGAGGUUUGAAGAAGAUCAGAUACCAUCAUAGUUCCGACCAUAAACGAUGCUGACUAGCGAUCCAGUGGCAU